AUAACGCUUGCCACCUACGUAUUACCGCGGCUGCUGGCACGUAGUUAGCCGUGGCUUUCUGAUUAGGUACCGUCAAGAUGUGCACAGUUACUUACACAUAUGUUCUUCCCUAAUAACAGAGUUUUACGAUCCGAAGACCUUCAUCACUCACGCGGCGUUGCUCCGUCAGGCUUUCGCCCAUUGCGGAAGAUUCCCUACUGCUGCCUCCCGUAGGAGUCUGGACCGUGUCUCAGUUCCAGUGUGGCCGAUCACCCUCUCAGGUCGGCUAUGCAUCGUUGCCUUGGUAAGCCGUUACCUUACCAACUAGCUAAUGCAGCGCGGAUCCAUCUAUAAGUGACAGCAAGACCGUCUUUCACUUUUGAACCAUGCGGUUCAAAAUAUUAUCCGGUAUUAGCUCCGGUUUCCCGAAGUUAUCCCAGUCUUAUAGGUAGGUUAUCCACGUGUUACUCACCCGUCCGCCGCUAACAUCAGAGAAGCAAGCUUCUCGUCCGUUCGCUCGACUUGCAUGUAUUAGGCACGCCGCCAGCGUUCAUCCUGAGCCAGGAUCAAACCCUC
rnacentral:rRNA from 1 species